rnacentral:rRNA from 1 species
UUGACCUCGGAUCAGGUAGGAAUCCCG